CGUAGGUAACCUGCCUUGUAGCGGGGGAUAACUAUUGGAAACGAUAGCUAAUACCGCAUAACAAUGGAUGACACAUGUCAUUUAUUUGAAAGGGGCAAUUGCUCCACUACAAGAUGGACCUGCGUUGUAUUAGCUAGUAGGUGAGGUAAUGGCUCACCUAGGCGACGAUACAUAGCCGACCUGAGAGGGUGAUCGGCCACACUGGGACUGAGACACGGCCCAGACUCCUACGGGAGGCAGCAGUAGGGAAUCUUCGGCAAUGGGGGCAACCCUGACCGAGCAACGCCGCGUGAGUGAAGAAGGUUUUCGGAUCGUAAAGCUCUGUUGUAAGUCAAGAACGGGUGUGAGAGUGGAAAGUUCACACUGUGACGGUAGCUUACCAGAAAGGGACGGCUAACUACGUGCCAGCAGCCGCGGUAAUACGUAGGUCCCGAGCGUUGUCCGGAUUUAUUGGGCGUAAAGCGAGCGCAGGCGGUUUGAUAAGUCUGAAGUUAAAGGCUGUGGCUCAACCAUAGUUCGCUUUGGAAACUGUCAAACUUGAGUGCAGAAGGGGAGAGUGGAAUUCCAUGUGUAGCGGUGAAAUGCGUAGAUAUAUGGAGGAACACCGGUGGCGAAAGCGGCUCUCUGGUCUGUAACUGACGCUGAGGCUCGAAAGCGUGGGGAGCGAACAGGAUUAGAUACCCUGGUAGUCCACGCCGUAAACGAUGAGUGCUAG
rnacentral:rRNA from 1 species